rnacentral:lncRNA from 1 species
GGGAGUCUUAAACAGAGGAACACUUGCAAAUCUAUUAAAGACACGGCACUGUACCGAGUUAGGUGUUUUUAAUGAUGAGAACCAUGAACAGGGAUGUCAACAACUAGAACAGCAAGAUUCUAGAAUCCAGCAGCAGGUCUACACCGAAAAUGCUUCAGAAUAAUCCAUCCCACAGGAAGGGUAGAGCCAAACACCACUGUGUGCUGAAACAAAGAAGAGCAAAGAUAAAGGCCCAGUUGAAACAAGAUAGCCAGGAAAAGCAAUUAAGACACAGACUCCAACUCUUGAAUACCAAAAAAAUGACUAUAGUGAAAAAGCAAAAAGCAAAACUGAAAACAGAGAGUGGAAGGUCAUCCCAGGAGGCCUGGACAGAGUCAUGUGGAGUUACUGAAUGCAAUGGGAAAGCAAUACAAUCAAAUUUGAAGAAAUUGACCUUUCCUGCUUACACUGACUAAAUUUUGGAAAUCUGGAAAUGGAGCUACUGGAAUUUCAAGAAAGCUUUAUCUGGAAAAAUAAAUUAUAAGACCUGCAUGCAACACUUGAGAAAAUAGAGAAGAUAGAGUGUGAAGGGAUGACAAAGGACAGCACAGUUAGUAGUUCAGAAAAUGAAGUCUUUCAAGUGGCGAAUUCUCUGCCGAAUAAUUUUAAGUUACUGAAAGCACUUGUGAUUGCUUUUCCUACUUUGAUUGGAUCAUUUUAUGCUUGUAAGGAGCUAUUCUCAGCUUUGAGUUAUAACAAAUUCAAUAAAAGAAACAGAAUAAGAGAUGACCUGAGUGCUGCAUGUGUUUCUAAACUAAUGAAGCAUGAACCAAGGGUUGACAAAUUAUUAGCAUGCAUACAUACAGCAGCAAAGAUCACAUUAAUUGUGCCAAAGCACA